UUUUAUGGAGAGUUUGAUCCUGGCUCAGGAUGAACGCUGGCGGCGUGCCUAAUACAUGCAAGUCGAGCGAACAGACGAGGAGCUUGCUCCUCUGACGUUAGCGGCGGACGGGUGAGUAACACGUGGAUAACCUACCUAUAAGACUGGGAUAACUUCGGGAAACCGGAGCUAAUACCGGAUAAUAUAUUGAAC
rnacentral:rRNA from 1 species